GCGAACCCAGGUCGAGCGGGACUACCCGCUAAAUUUAAGCAUAUAAAUAAGCGGAGAAAAAAACUUACAAGGAUUCUACUAGUAACAAUUUAGUAAUGAUGAGCGAACCGGUAAGAGCCCAAGUUGAUAAUUGAUCAUCCUCAGCGUCCGAAUUGUAGUAUGAAUAAGUGUCCUCAACGACGGACUAGAACCAAGUCCCUUGGAAAGGGGCGUCAUAGAAGGUAAGAUCCCUAUUAUGCCCGGGCCCCAUAACACCACGACACACUAUCUACGAGUUAGGUUAUUUAUGAAUUCAGUCAUAAUCGAGCAGUAAAUUAUGUCCAAGGCCAAAUACGGGUGAGAGACCGAUAGCUAACAAGUAUCGCGAGGGAAAUAUGGAAAGAAUUUUAAAAAGAGAAUCAAAAAGUGCUUGAAAUUGUUAUGAGGGAAUCAGAUGAGGCUGACGAUGCACCACGAUCAGAUAUGGAAUAGUGAAUGUCAGUCUGUCGAUCGAUUCAGGCCGUGACUGAAGCGGAUAGUGGUGGUGGCCCAAGCCUAUGCCUUUGACACAACUGUGGAGAAGUCAUCGCCAAGAUUAUGUAACCCAACACACACCGGCUCAGUAUGCAUUAACAUUGCCUUACUUAAGGCGUUGUCCUGCGGCUCCAUAUCCAUUCCGUCUUGAAACAUAAACCAAGGAGUCUGACAUAUGUGCGACUCAAUGGGUAGAAAAUUCAUAAGGCGCAAAGAAACUGAUUUGCAGGAUCCUUCUUGGGUGCACCAUCGACUGAUCUUGAUCUUAUGCGAAGAGAUCAAGUGAAAGCAUGUUUGUCAAGACCCUAAAAAUGUUAAACAAUGCAUAAGUGAUGCAAAACUAGAUGAAACUUCGUAGAGGCCUGUAGCGCUACUGAUGUGCAAAUUGUUUAUGUGACUUGGGUAUAUGGCGAAAGACGAAUUGAACCGUCUUGUAGCUAGUUCCCUAUGAUGUUUCCCUUAUGAUAGCUGGAGCCUUUAGCGAGUUUUAUUGGGUAAAUACAAUUAUUAAAGGCAUCGGGGGUGCAACGCCCUUGAUAUAUUCUUAAACUUUAAAUAUGUAGGAUGGCGCAACUACUUAAUUAAGUCAUAUCACGGAAUCAAGAGCUCCAAGUAGGUCAUUUUUGGUAAUCAGAACUGACAAUGUUGGAUGAACCAAAAUACGGGUUAUAGUUCCCAACUACGCACUAACCUAAUACCCACAAAAGGUGUUGGUCAAUUAUUACAACAAGAUAAUGGUCAUGGAAGUCGAAAUCCACUAAGGAGUGUGAAACAACUCACAUACCUAAUCAACUAGCCCCGAAAAUAGAUGGUGCCUAAUUGUGUGACCUAUUACCAACUGCUAGGGAAAGGGCCAUGCCCCGAUGAGUGUAAGGGCACGGAAACAUCCAUAAAACUUGGGGCGUGAACCCGGGCAGAGCGGUCAUUGGUGCAAAUCUUAGUGUUAGAAGCAAAAUUCAAAUAAGUGUUUUGAAGGCCGAAGAGAGGAAAGGUACCAUGUGAAUGCCACUUGCACAUGGGUUAGUCGAUCCUAAGAGAUAGGGAAGCCUGUCUGAUAGUGCGUUUCACGCGAACUUUGAAAGAGAAUUAAUUUAGAAUUCCUAAAUCGAGACGUGGUUACUGACGAAAAUGUUAGGGAACCUGGAGACAUCAACGAGGGCGUUAAGAAGAGUUAUCUUUUCUAUUUAAUGACCUGCCCAACCUGGAAAUGACUCAAUCAGAGGUAGGUUUUAGCAGUGAAAUAGCACCUCACAUUGCAUUGUGCUGAUGCACCCAGUGGCCCUUAACAAUUUGGAGGACUAAGUGUCGACCAUGCUCGAUCGUACUUAUAAAUGUGUCAAGUCUCAAAGUUGAAGAACCUAUGGUCAAUGGAACAUUGUAGGAAAGGGAAGUCGGAAAAAUGGAUCUGUAACCUCAAGAAAAAGAUUGGCCCUGAGGGCUGGGCAUAUGGAUCCCAAUCCUGAACCCGUCGGCUUCUGGUGCAUUACUCAAGCUACUCCCGUAGUGAGAGCGGGUCACUACGUGCCGUCUAGAGGAGAUUGGUAAUGACUCCUUCAGGGGCCUUCCCUGGCGACAAACCGUCGACUCAAAACUAGUACAGGUAAGGGAAAUCUUGUAGUUUAAUUAAAACAAAGCAUUACAAUGGUCGAUGUGGAUACUCACCCAAUAUAAUUUCUACCCAGUGCCCUAUAUAUCGAAGUAAAGAAAUUUAACCAAGUACAGGUAAAUGACAAGAGUAACUAUUACUCUCUUAAAGUUAUCCAAAUGCCUUGUCAUCUAAUUAGUACACACAUGAAUGGAUUAACGAGAUUCCCACUGUCCUUGUCUACUCUCCACCGAAACUACAACCAAGGGAACAAGCUUGGUAGAAUCAACGACAAAAGAAGACCUUUUUAAGCUUGACAGUAGUCCAACUUUGUGAAUUUACCUGAGAGGUGUAGGAUAAGUGGGAGCUCUCGGGGAAAAAUUGAAAUACCACUAUAUUUAACAUUAUUUGACUUAUGACGUGAAUCAAAAGUGGGGCACGACCCCUCUAUUUGGACCUAAGGCCAGCUUCGGUCAGUCGAUCCAGGUAAAAGACAUUGUCAGGUGGGGAGUUUGGUGGGGGAAACACAUAUGUUAAAUAUAACGCAUGUGUCCUAAGAUGAGUUAAACGAGAAUAGAAAUCUCUCGUGGAACAAAAGUGUAAAAGCUCGUUUGAUUUUGAUUUGCAGUAUGAAUAUGAACCGUGAAAGCGUGGCAUAUAAAUCAUUUAGACCUUUGAAAUUUGAAGCUGGAGGUGUCAGAAAAGUUACCACAGGGAUAAAUGGCUUGUGGCAGCAAAGCGUUUAUAGCGACAUUACUUUUUAAUCCUUCAAUCUCAUCUUUUCCUAUCUUUGUGAAGCAGAAUUCAUCAAGUGUUAGAUUGUUCACCCACCAAUAAGGAACGUGAGCUGGGUUUAGACCAUCGUGAGACAAAUUAGUUUUACUCUACCAAUGAUUGCUAGCAAUAGUAAUUCAACCUAGUACGAGAGGGGUACGAAGCUACCGUGUGUUGGAUUAUGACUGAAUGCCUCUUAGUUAGAAUCAGGGAUAGAAGCGACGUAUACGCUCGUCGCCUUGU
rnacentral:rRNA from 1 species